UGCCUAACCCUUGCGAGUUGAAACUCCAAGAUAUGGCACAAAAACUAUCCCUAGUAGUAAGCUCCUCGUCAGAGCACUAGGGAUAGUCAUAGUCCGAAAGGAUUAUGGGUAGCGAAAGCUACC
rnacentral:sRNA from 1 species